rnacentral:rRNA from 1 species
UAACGGCGAGUGAGCGGCAACAGCUCAAAUUUGAAAUCUGGCGGCCUCUGGGCCGUCCGAGUUGUAAUUUGAAGAGGAUGCUUUUGGCGAGGCGCCUUCCGAGUGCCCUGGAACGGGACGCCACAGAGGGUGAGAGCCCCGUAUGGUUGGACGCCGAGCCUCUGUAAAGCUCCUUCGACGAGUCGAGUAGUUUGGGAAUGCUGCUCAAAAUGGGAGGUAAACCCCUUCUAAAGCUAAAUACUGGCCAGAGACCGAUAGCGCACAAGUAGAGUGAUCGAAAGAUGAAAAGCACUUUGAAAAGAGAGUUAAAUAGCACGUGAAAUUGUUGAAAGGGAAGCGCUUGCGACCAGACUUGUGCCCGUCGAAUCAGCCGCCGCUCGCCGGCGGCGCACUUCGGCGGGCUCAGGCCAGCAUCAGUUCGCUGCAGGGGGAGAAAGGCGGCGGGAAUGUGGCUCUUCGGAGUGUUAUAGCCCGCCGCGCAAUACCCCUCGGCGGACUGAGGACCGCGCAUCUGCAAGGAUGCU